rnacentral:tRNA from 2 species
AAGGAAUGUUUUACAACAAAAAGAAC